CGGUCCCAAGGGUUGGGCUGUUCGCCCAUUAAAGCGGUACGCGAGCUGGGUUCAGAACGUCGUGAGACAGUUCGGUCCCUAUCCGUCGUGGGCGUAGGAAAUUUGAGAGGAGCUGUCCUUAGUACGAGAGGACCGGGAUGGACAUACCUCUGGUGUACCAGUUGUCGUGCCAACGGCAUAGCUGGGUAGCUAUGUGUGGACGGGAUAAGUGCUGAAAGCAUCUAAGCAUGAAGCCCCCCUCAAGAUGAGAUUUCCCAACUUCGGUUAUAAGAUCCCUCAAAGAUGAUGAGGUUAAUAGGUUCAAGGUGGAAGCAUGGUGACAUGUGGAGCUGACGAAUACUAAUCGAUCGAAGACUUAAUCAA
rnacentral:rRNA from 1 species